rnacentral:lncRNA from 1 species
AACUAGUCUUCCACCUGGUCAGAGAUCCAAGAAUGAAUUAAAUAUUAACUGAAUAUGUAGGAAGCACAAUAACAUAGCUUCCAAAACGUAACCAAUUUGCAGAGGCAUCUGAAUACCUGGACAGUCUCCUAUUCGUCAAAACAUCUUCUGGCCAAGAGCCAUCUGGCAGACCUUGAGUGAAACAGGGAUUAUGCAGAACACAUCCUUGGCAGAGCAGAAGUAUGUGUUCUUUUCUUCAAAUGCUAUCCAAGUGCUCUCUCCGUAAAAAGAUUGUAUCAAGAACUCCAGGCAUUCAAUGCUACUGCAGGGGAAAAGGUGGCCUUUGAAAAAAUCCAGGACUGCUAGAAAGAGGGAGGAUUAAGAAACAUAUUUAUGGAACCUGAAAUUAUGGAAGCCAUGGACUCCAGCCCUGAGUGCAAGGCAUUCUAUAAUAGUGGCUCCAUAAGGUCCAUUUUAGACCUUCUUUCCAAGUUAUUAGAGGAAUAGAAGAGUUAAUGUGUUUUGGGCAACCCAUCUUUGCAACAUGUGUAAUCCUAGUGCCAUCUUGCUGACCUGUCCUCUUUCUCUCCUGAAGUUGGAUUCCUGUUCCUGUUCCUUCAUCAUUCAGUCUCUUAGACUGAUUCUAAUAAAGGCUUGCAGCUCUG